UUUAACUGUAUUCUUUCCCUUUCAUAUGCCCUACAGUUAAUCAGCACAUGCUCUACAAUUUCUGGAAAUAACAA